CAAUAGCGUAUAUUUAAGUUGCUGCAGUUAAAAAGCUCGUAGUUGGAUUUCGGGUGGGAAUGGCCGGUCCGCCGUUUCGGUGUGAACUUGCUACGCCCACCUUGCUGCCGGGGACGUGCUCUUGAGUUCACGCUCGGGAAACGGAGUCGGCGAGGUUACUUUGAGUAAAUUAGAGUGUUCAAAGCAGGCCUACGCUCUGAAUACAUUAGCAUGGAAUAACACGAUAGGACUCUGGCCUAUCUUGUUGGUCUGUAGGACCGGAGUAAUGAUUAAGAGGGACAGUCGGGGGCAUUCGUAUUUCAUUGUCAGAGGUGAAAUUCUUGGAUUUAUGAAAGACGAACUACUGCGAAAGCAUUUGCCAAGGAUGUUUUCAUUAA
rnacentral:rRNA from 1 species